AGAAGAUAAACUGGACUUUAACUGGUUGGUUAUCUUUAGAAAAUGUUUUCAGAUUUUGCUUCUGGAUCAUCCAAAGAAGUUCAUCAGAGACACACAGAAGUAUAAACCCUUCAGGCGGAUCGCCAAGAGUAGCCGGCCGUCGCUCAAAGUCCUCUGCAGAGAAGUCCUGAACGUAAAAGUCCAGCAGGGCGAACACUCGUCUGUGCAGGACGCUCAGGCCACCAUGAGGCUUUACACACUGGUGAAGAAACAGUGGGAAGCUGAGAUCAGCAGCAGGAAGAAAAACAAAGAGUCCGAGGA